CUUGGUCAUUUAGAGGAAGUAAAAGUCGUAACAARGUUUCCGUAGGUGAACCUGCGGAAGGAUCAUUACAGUAUUCUUUUUGCCAGCGCUUAACUGCGCGGCGAAAAACCUUACACACAGUGUCUUUUUGAUACAGAACUCUUGCUUUGGUUUGGCCUAGAGAUAGGUUGGGCCAGAGGUUUAACAAAACACAAUUUAAUUAUUUUUACAGUUAGUCAAAUUUUGAAUUAAUCUUCAAAACUUUCAACAACGGAUCUCUUGGUUCUCGCAUCGAUGAAGAACGCAGCGAAAUGCGAUAAGUAAUAUGAAUUGCAGAUUUUCGUGAAUCAUCGAAUCUUUGAACGCACAUUGCGCCCUCUGGUAUUCCAGAGGGCAUGCCUGUUUGAGCGUCAUUUCUCUCUCAAACCCCCGGGUUUGGUAUUGAGUGAUACUCUUAGUCGGACUAGGCGUUUGCUUGAAAAGUAUUGGCAUGGGUAGUACUGGAUAGUGCUGUCGACCUCUCAAUGUAUUAGGUUUAUCCAACUCGUUGAAUGGUGUGGCGGGAUAUUUCUGGUAUUGUUGGCCCGGCCUUACAACAACCAAACAAGUUUGACCUCAAAUCAGGUAGGAAUACCCGCUGAACUUAAGCAUAUCAAUAAGCGGAGGA
rnacentral:rRNA from 1 species